rnacentral:rRNA from 1 species
AUUGAACGCUGGCGGCAUGCCUUACACAUGCAAGUCGAACGGCAGCGGGGGAGAAGCUUGCUUUUCCUGCCGGCGAGUGGCGAACGGGUGAGUAAUACAUCGGAACGUGCCCUGUAGUGGGGGAUAACUAGUCGAAAGAUUAGCUAAUACCGCAUACGACCUGAGGGUGAAAGUGGGGGACCGCAAGGCCUCAUGCUAUAGGAGCGGCCGAUGUCUGAUUAGCUGGUUGGUGGGGUAAAGGCCUACCAAGGCGACGAUCAGUAGCUGGUCUGAGAGGACGAUCAGCCACACUGGGACUGAGACACGGCCCAGACUCCUACGGGAGGCAGCAGUGGGGAAUUUUGGACAAUGGGCGAAAGCCUGAUCCAGCAAUGCCGCGUGUGUGAAGAAGGCCUUCGGGUUGUAAAGCACUUUUGUUCGGAAAGAAAUGGCUCUGGUUAAUACCUGGGGUCGAUGACGGUACCGGAAGAAUAAGGACCGGCUAACUACGUGCCAGCCGCCGCGGUAAGAC